GCUUACCUUGCCGUUCUCACCGGCUGCGGCACAUGGCGUGGCCGGGGCACGCGGUGCAGCCGGGGCAGGCUUGAGCUGGGUCCUGCCGGUAGAAAAGGGGGGUAUUUCGGGUGCUUUCUCUUUCGCUUUUGGUCAGAGUCAGACCUGAGCCAUGCCUUGUGCCCUGCCCUGCCUGCCAACGGCCGCCCUUUGGCAAGGCUGCUACCAGAAGAGGAAACACCGGCUGUGUGCCGAGAGCUGGGGCUGCUGCUGAGCCGUGGGGAGCAUCCAUUGGGUGCCAGGGGAGCCAGGAAGGGCUUCAGAGCCCUGGAUCCGGCGUGGGACAGCCCUGGAGGCCGAUGCUGGGGCAGCCGAUGCUGGGAUGGCUGCUGGUGGCACUGGUGGCGGGCGGCACCACUGCAGUUCCCGACCUCUCCUGCUGGAAGCGAUGUGGCUUCCGCUGGUUCCUCUGCUCCUGGCCACCCCUCGGCCCUGCCGGCAACACCUCCUAUGUCCUGACCCUCUGGUGAGCGGCAUCCUGGGGAGCCGGCAGGAUGUGUCCUGGCAGUGACACAUGGGGCCGUGUGCCCUUCACAUCCCAAACCCAUCCACACUCACCCUUGUGCCCACUCCAUCCCCAGCUACACAAUGCCCAGGCGGUGCCAGCAGUUCCAGGCUGGCACAAAGACAACCUACACCCUGAAGCAUCACCAGGUCUACGUCCUCACCAACACCACAGCCUGGGUGGAGGCACACUGGGGGGACCACAUCCACAGGACCCCCAACCGCACACUGUACUUCAAUGAGGCUGUCAAACCAGAUCCACCCUCCACUGGGAUGCCCUUCACCAAAACCAGCAACCGGCUCCGGCUGCGGGUGCCGAGGCCACUGUGCUACAGUGGGAACCGGUCACCACAGCGCGAGGCUCGAUUCC
rnacentral:lncRNA from 14 species